GAUGAACGCUGGCGGCGUGCCUAAUACAUGCAAGUCGAGCGAACAGACGCGGAUCUUGCUCCUCUGACGUUAGCGGCGGACGGGUGAGUAACACGUGGAUAACCUACCUAUAAGACUGGGAUAACUUCGGGAAACCGGAGCUAAUACCGGAUAAUCUAUUGAACCGCAUGGUUCAAUAGUGAAAUACGGUUUUGCUGUCACUUAUAGAUGGAUCCGCGCGUCAUUAGCUAGUUGGUAAUGUAACGGCUUACCAAGGCAACGAUGCCUAGCCGACCUGAGAGGGUGAUCGGCCACACUGGAACUGAGACACGGUCCAGACUCCUACGGGAGGCAGCAGUAGGGAAUCUUCCGCAAUGGGCGAAAGCUUGACGGAGCAACGCCGCGUGAGUGAUGAAGGUCUUCGGAUCGUAAAACUCUGUUAUUAGGGAAGAACAAAUGUGUAAGUAACUAUGCACGUCUUGACGGUACCUAAUCAGAAAGCCACGCCUAACUACGUG
rnacentral:rRNA from 1 species